ACUACUGGAAACGGUAGCUAAUACCGCAUAACGUCGCAAGACCAAAGAGGGGGACCUUCGGGCCUCUUGCCAUCGGAUGUGCCCAGAUGGGAUUAGCUAGUAGGUGGGGUAAUGGCUCACCUAGGCGACGAUCCCUAGCUGGUCUGAGAGGAUGACCAGCCACACUGGAACUGAGACACGGUCCAGACUCCUACGGGAGGCAGCAGUGGGGAAUAUUGCACAAUGGGCGCAAGCCUGAUGCAGCCAUGCCGCGUGUAUGAAGAAGGCCUUCGGGUUGUAAAGUACUUUCAGCGAGGAGGAAGGUGUUGUGGUUAAUAACCACAGCAAUUGACGUUACUCGCAG
rnacentral:rRNA from 1 species